UGUAGAUAUUAUCAACUGUGAUUAAUUUACUCGCUAAUAUCGUAUUGUAAUAAAAUGUGUUUCUUGUGUGCUGUACUGACCAAUUUAUCGUAUUCUUUAAUUAUAUUACUAUUAAAGCCGAUACCCAAUGUGUUCUAUCAACUAUACGAUUUUGAUGUUCAAUACUUAUCUGGUUUUAUUUGUUAGUAUAAAUUACAAAUAUAAAUAUGAUUAAACAGACUCGGUUAAGUUAGCUAAGAAAAAAAAAAUGUGGGUACUAAGUAUUCUAUAUUGAAGGUUCUAUUUCCUAUCUUAAUCGUAAUUCGUUUGUAAAAGAGUUAGAUUACAGCGGAAAAAUUAUAUAUUUUCUGUACAUUUUAUGAAUUUUGCAAAAACUCGACUGGUAACAAGAUAACACUGGAGAAAAAAAUAUGUUGCAACUAUUUUUAUAUAUUGUUCUUGUAGAUAAAAUUUUCCUUAUUUAAAGACUGUGUAGGUAUAUUUUGAUUAGUUGUUGUGUUUAGGGAUCAUUCAAGUAUUACGUAAGCAGAAUUUUAGUAAUUUUUAACCCCCUUCUCCCCUUUGUCAGCGAAAAACACCAAAACUCUACCCAUUUCCCCUAUGCUUACAUAAACAUCGGUAUAUACAUACAUAAUUCUAUUCAGAUUUCUUUAUUCUUAUUCGUGUGAAUUUAUUGCAUAACUUAUAUUCCAAUAUUAAUUAACAACUAGGGUAGCCAUAUUCAGUUGAAUUAAAACCUUAAAUUUUGGAAAAAAAAAACAAGAAAUACCAAAAAUAAAACACCAUCUCGACCCCGGCCCCCUG